rnacentral:lncRNA from 1 species
GCCGCUGCAGCCUGAAGCACGCCCCAAGUUUCCUAGUAUUAUCCUUUUUCUUUUCUUUUUAUCUCACCAUUGCUUCGACUAGCUUGGAUUGAAUCGCCAGUACUAGGUAACGUGUAUAUACGUGGUCCAUGUCCAGGCAUGCAUGGAGUGAUUAAUAAUUAAUCUUAAUUUAAUCAUGCUAACAUAUAUUGCAGCAUGUACACGUUCAAGGUUUGUGGGUGGCUACUAUAGGUUCCAUCAAUUGUUUUCUUUUUAUUUAAUCAUCAAUCACAG